CCUAAUGGACAGAGUGCUAUAGCCAAUGGAUACGGCCUUGGUGCUGCUGGCUUUCUUGGAGCUGGUUUUACUAAUGGAUAUGGAGCAGGUAUCAGAAAUUUUGAAAUAUUGUUUUUCUCUCAGAGGUACCAGUGUCAUUAAUACAAGCUCUAGAAUAUUCAUAUUUGCUAAAGCACUUAUUAUUUAUUGCUGAUGCAGGUCUUGGGGCAGGUGGAUAUCCACAGGGAGUCGAGCAGGAAAGCAGAUUGGUAACUAAUGUUUAAUUAGUUCAUUAUAUAGAGGAGACCGGGGCUAGUUGUCACAAGGGCUACAUAUCAGCAACUGUGAGGUUUUGAGUCUAAAGUCUAAUUAUAUAAAAG
rnacentral:lncRNA from 1 species